AUACGUAGGGAGCGAGCGUUGUCCGGAAUUACUGGGUGUAAAGGGAGCGUAGGCGGGACUGCAAGUCAGAUGUGAAAUACCGGGGCUUAACCCCGGAGCUGCAUUUGAAACUGUGGUUCUUGAGUGAAGUAGAGGCAAGCGGAAUUCCUGGGGUAGCGGUGAAAUGCGUAGAUAUCAGGAGGAACCCCGGUGGCGAAGGCGGCUUGCUGGGCUUUUACUGACGCUGAGGCUCGAAAGCGUGGGUAGCAAACAGGAUUAGAUACCCUGGUAGUCCACGCUGUAAACGAUGAUUACUAGGUGUGGGGGGACUGACCCCUUCCGUGCCGCAGUUAACACAAUAAGUAAUCCACCUGGGGAGUACGGCCGCAAGGUUGAAACUUAAAUGAAUUGACGGGG
rnacentral:rRNA from 1 species